rnacentral:rRNA from 1 species
UACGAAGGGUGCAAGCGUUACUCGGAAUUACUGGGCGUAAAGCGUGCGUAGGUGGUUUCUUAAGUCUGCUGUGAAAGCCCUGGGCUCAACCUGGGAAUGGCAGUGGAUACUGGGGAGCUAGAGUGCGGUAGAGGAGGGUGGAAUUCCCGGUGUAGCAGUGAAAUGCGUAGAUAUCGGGAGGAAUACCGAUGGCGAAGGCAGGUCUCUGGGCUGACACUGACGCUGAGGCACGAAAGCCAGGGGAGCGAACGGG